CAAUAGCGUAUAUUAAAGUUGUUGCAGUUAAAAAGCUCGUAGUUGGAUUUCUGGUAGGAGCGACCGUGCCGAACUUGAUUGUUCGAGUAUUGUGUUGUCUUCAGCCAUCCUCGUGGAGAACUUUUCUAACAUUAACUUGUUGGGAUUGGGACCCGCGUCGUUUACUGUGAAAAAAUUAGAGUGGUUAAAGCAGGCAUUAGCUUGAAUACAUUAGCAUGGAAUAAUAAGAUAGGACUUUGGUACUAUUUUGUUGGUUUGCAUACCAAAUUAAUGAUCAACAGGAACAGUUUGAGGAUAUUCGUAUGAACAUGUCAGAGGUGAAAUUCUUGGAUUUUGAUCAGACGAACUACUGCGAAAGCAUUUAUCAAGGAUGUUUUCAUUAA
rnacentral:rRNA from 1 species